rnacentral:rRNA from 1 species
UACAGAGGUGGCAAGCGUUGUUCGGAAUUACUGGGCGUAAAGGGCGCGUAGGCGGCCUUCUAAGUCAGACGUGAAAUCCCCCGGCUUAACCUGGGAACUGCGUCUGAUACUGGAGGGCUUGAGUGCGGGAGAGGGAUGUGGAAUUCCAGGUGUAGCGGUGAAAUGCGCAGAUAUCAGGAAGAACACCAAUGGCGAAGGCAGCUCUCUGGGACGGUACUGACGCUGAGACGCGAAAGCGUGGGGAGCGAACAGG